rnacentral:sRNA from 1 species
CUGCAGCCCGACUUGAGCGGAAAUCCUUUUUUGCUCGUAAUUCAGGUUCUAUCCUGCUGAUACUUUCUGCAAAAAAGAUUGAAAGCGGAAGGCGGAUUAAGC